CUAUGGCCAUGCCACCCUGAACGUGUCUGAUCUCGUCUGAUCUCAGAAGCUUAGCAGGGUCAUGCCUGUUUGGUACUUGAAUGGGCAAUUGAGUUUUAACCAAUGGAAAAAUUUGCACCAAAUUGU
rnacentral:rRNA from 1 species